rnacentral:rRNA from 1 species
UACGAAGGGGCUAGCGUUGCUCGGAAUCACUGGGCGUAAAGGGCGCGUAGGCGGGUUUUUAAGUCAGGGUGAAAUCCUGGAGCUCAACUCCAGAACUGCCUUUGAUACUGAAGAUCUUGAGUCCGGGAGAGGUGAGUGGAACUGCGAGUGUAGAGGUGAAAUUCGUAGAUAUUCGCAAGAACACCAGUGGCGAAGGCGGCUCACUGGCCCGGUACUGACGGCUGAGGCACGAAAGCGUGGGGAGCAAACAGGG